ACAUAGUUGUUAGAAAGGCCGAGUUCUGUGCGCAUGCGCUGAUUCCAUCAGUCGUCAUUGAAGAGAGAGUGACUCAGCAGAAGGUGCGAGGGCGCUGUGUGUAUGCAACGUGUGCGUUGAUAAACAAAUGUAAGUUGUUUACAUAAUCAAUAGUUGAUAAAUAUUAGUUAAGGGUAGGUGCUGCAUUAGUACAAUGUUAUACUGUUCAUGACAGACAAGUAUUUAUCAGCAUUGAAGCCAUUAUCGCGUGCUGUUGAGUGCCCGUGAAUGUGUUGAUUAUGUUCAAUAUUACUUGCCAUCCGUAAGAUAUAUCUUGUAAUCAGUGUUUGAUACCUAUGUAUGGAUGCAUUAUCAUCACAUUUGUUGCUGAUAUAUCUGCUAUUUAUAGUUUAUGUACGCGAUGUUCCUGAUUACAUGCUGCUCGUUUGAAUAAUUUUACGAUUAGUUUCGUUUUGAAUGUUUUGCUGUUUUUGACCACUGGGUGGCAGUAUUGUAUAAGAAUUCAUUGCUUGUAUGGUGAUUUCUUUAUUUCAUUCUAGAUUUAACUUGAACUUCUUUAUUUGAGAGAUUUGUGACUGUUAAUUGACGUAAUGCUGUGUAAUAAUAGCCAGGAUGUUUGUUAAUAUAUAUCUUUAUUUCUUUCCUUUGUAGACCACACCCAAAUUUACACACCCAAAUUUACACACCCAAAAGCCUGUAAAUCCUGUGUACUGCUGUGUUGUGUACCACCCAAAUUGUCAACAUUAAACCCCUUUUCAUGGAACUGAUCUGAUUCAGUGUGUUCUAACCGACACCCCAUUGAGGAAAGCUAGAAACAGACCAUCACCUAAUACAGUCCGACCUUUUUAAAGCUGCUAUUGAACAUAUGGUCCUUCGAGCCGGAUCUGGCGUUUCUCAUGGAUAAAGCCUUGAUCAGUGGCCAAAUGCAACCUGAAGGAGCAUCAGCACAGAUUGUAAGACCCAAACGUCAGGUUCAUCCUCCUGCCUACCUUAAAGACUUUGACCUUACGACUGUGCGUCAUAGAGUACUUAGCCAGCCGGCAUUGCCUGACACAACACAGCAUACACAGGUUCUUGGAGAUGCAGCAGAGAACAUUCCUUCGCCCUCUACCAGAGUAUCGAGUCCCAUAAGUCAAGGUCCAUGGGAUACAGUGGAUAAAUGGUCCAUGGUCGGCGAAAGGGCUCCUUCCUUUCAAGUUAUGGAUAAUACUGAACUGCAACCACCUAGUACCAGAUACAGCCCAGUGCAGCCAGUUCAUCAUCCUCAGUCUUCUCCAUAUCAUCGGCCAUGGGAAGAGCAUCAGUCCACGCCUUUGCCUCAGAUCUCUUACACUCCACAAACUAAGAGAACCUCACAUCGUGAGCAAGCAUCCUACCAUCCGCCAUCUAUGUUAUCUCCAUCCUUGGGCCCACACCAACCCUUUCCUAUCAACCCUGGUAGCUCCUCACUUAGUUUGAAUCAAGGGACUGGUUAUCAUAUUAUGUCCAACACAGCAAUGGAGAGAACAGUAGAGCCUCAGAGUGCCACUAACAUGCUAGACAUUUUGGGAACAAUGAUGGGUGAACUUCAAAUUAUGAAAGAUCAUAUCCUGGCUGCCACACCUACUAAAUCGCGCAUUGAUUUAGCUCUGACUGGUGAACAUCCUCGCCAUAAUACACCUCCCUGGCAGCAUCCUGAUAAAACCAAUUAUCAGAAUACAGCUCAACCAAUACCAGACUUCUAUGCUAAUACUCCUGUCCCUCACUGGCAUUCAAGAACAUUGUAUGAAUCACCUAGGGAGAGAAUGGAAUAUCCUGAACAAGAGCGUUAUCAGUACAAGCAACCCACUGGGCUAGAGUUAGCACCUAGAACUAAUUUCCUUAACCUGAAUCCUGCAGGACAAGAAAGCACCUACAGAGGUCCAGUGCCAACCAUCCCUAACUUCUGUACUAAAGAUCCCAGCGAGUUUACUCGGUUGAAGAUAGCCCUUGAUAACCUUUUACCACCAGAUGCCACAGAACUGUUCCGAUACCAAAUCCUACUAGAUCAUCUGAAGCUAGAUGAAGCACGUCUGGUGGCAGAUUCCUAUCUCAAUUCACCAUUCCCUUACUCAGAUACUAUGGCUGCUUUGAACGAAAGGUUUGGCCAGCCACACAAGUUGGCACUUAAGAAGAUUGCCAAAGUGAUGGAUUCCCCAGAUCUCCGACGAGGAGAUAUCGAGGCAUUUGACAGAUUCGCUCUACAAAUUAGCGCUCUUGUUGGUAUGUUGGAGACUCUUGGAGAUGAAGGAGAAUCAGAGCUGCAAUGUGGGUCACAUGUGGAGAGACUGUUGAGUAAGUUACCUGCUGAAAUGAGAUCAGGAUUUCGAAGACAGAUGUACCACCGUCCGGGGUCGGUGUAUAACCUCCGUGAAUUUUCUAAGUGGCUCCAGUAUGAGGCUUGGUGCCAAAGCAGUGAGUCGCAGAUCAGUUACAAGAGCCAAAGACCAGAGCAGAGACCAGAACGCAGGCGAGAAACCAAACCUACUGGUCGUACAGCGACUAUCCUUCAUGGGGCAAAUGACACGGUCACAAAGGUACCCCCUGCAGCAGUCCAAGUUAAAGUGGAGAAACCCAAAGUCUCACCUAAAGCCUUUUGUCCUUUCUGUGAUAAAGAUGACCAUUUUCUAAGUCAGUGUUUGACCUUUAAGUCCUUUGAUAAACAGCAAAUGAUUGACUGGAUACAAACCAAUCAUCGUUGCUGGCGAUGUGGACGUGCACACCAAGCAGCCCAGUGCACACUGAAGAAGCCUUGUAGCAUCUGCAAAGGGAAGCACUUGCAAAUCCUGCAUGAGGUCAACACCAGGUGUACCAGAGAGGGUUCCUGCCUGGUUAGUUCAACUACUGAAACACUGUACUUGGACAGACCCACUGACUGCAAACGUGUUCUGCUUAAGGUCAUCAGGGUUCUGUUGCGCUAUGGAGGCAAGACGCUUGACACUUAUGCUGUUAUGGAUGAUGGGUCUGAGCGCACAAUUCUUCUUCCUGAUGCUGCUCGUGUACUUGGUAUACAAGGUCAAGCUGAAAAUAUAGCCUUGCGGACCGUCCGCCAAGAUGUGCAGACCAUCAGUGGUACUUCAGUUGACUUCCACAUAUCUCCUGCAACUCAACCUCAGAAGACAUUCAAGAUCAAUGCAGCAUUCACUGCCAAACACCUUGGUCUGGCCGAUCACUCUUAUCCAGUGAGUUUGCUAGAGAAAUACAGGCACCUGAAAGAUCUCCCACUGCAGGCCUUUGAAAGAGUGAGUCCUUCACUUCUCAUCGGUGCUGAUAAUACCCACCUAAUCACACCUAUCGCACCUGUCCGAAUUGGUCCUCUUGGUGGUCCAGCCGCCAUAAAGACGAAGCUUGGAUGGACACUGCAGGGACCAGCCAAAAUCCUGGAGACCCAAUUGCAGCCACAACAGUGCCUUUUCCUGUCUCUCACCCCAACUGAACUAGAACUCAAAGGAGAUGUUAAAAGGUUAUGGCAACUUGAUAUUUUGCCUUUCCGCUGUGAAAAGCAGGUGACAAGGUCCAGGGAGGAUCAGGAGGCCAUUAAUCUCUUAGAGAGCAGGACAACUCGCGUAGAGGUGAAUGGAAUCUUCCGCUAUGCUACACCCUUGCUGCGCAGAAAGAAUUCACCCCUCCUUUGUGCCCCCAAAGAAGCUGUGAUGCCUAGUCUUCGGAGCAUGGAACGACGACUGGCCCAAGAUCAAGAGAAAGCAGCAGUGUACAAUGCGGAGAUUGAGAAGUUAGUACUGAAUGGCGCCGUUACCAAACUCUCAUCGAGUGGAAGCAAUGCGACAGAAGAGACCUGGUAUAUCCCACACCAUUUAGUCAGCCACAAUGACAAGGACCGCAUUGUGUUCAAUUGCUCCUUCCAAUAUAAGGGACUGAAUCUUAAUGAUUCCUUGAUGCCUGGUCCAGCCCUGAGCCCCUCUCUUCUGGGUGUUCUACUUCGUUUCAGGGAGCAUUGUGUGGCGAUUAGCGGCGAUAUACGUGGAAUGUUCCACCAAGUCCUCCUCCUACCUGAGGACAGGCCCCUCCUGCGCUUUCUGUGGCGUGACAUGAGACGAGAUGACCCACCUGACAUCUAUGAAUGGCAAGUACUGCCGUUCGGAACCACAUGCAGUCCCUGCUGUGCCUCCUUCGCCCUCCAAAGGCACGUCUUGUCGCAUAGCACAGCAGAUGAAGAUGUGAGGCAUUCUGUUGAGAGAUGCUUCUAUGUGGAUAAUUGUCUGCAGAGCUUACCAUCUGCUCAAGAAGCAAGACAGUUACUAGACAAAAUUCGUAAGUUGCUGGCAACAGGAGGAUUCGAUAUCCGCCAGUGGGCCAGCAAUGUGCAAGAGGUUGUCAGUCACUUACCCCCAGAAGCCAGAUCUCCUAAGCUAGAGCUGUGGCUUUCACAUGAUAAAGUGGACCCACGUGAAUCCACCCUGGGACUGAAUUGGCACUGUGAGUCAGACUGUCUAGGAUUCCGGCACAGACCUGUUACUUACCAUGCUCUGACGAUGCGGAACAUAUAUCGUGUCUUAGCAAGUCAAUAUGACCCCCUUGGUGUUAUUCUUCCAUACACUACACGUGCCAAGGUGAUUGUUCAACAACUCUGGACUAAGGAUAGGAACUGGGAUGAUCCACAACUUCCUGAGGGUCUUCAGUGGGCAUGGAAGGUGUGGGAAACUGAGCUUCAGUACUUACCUCAAGUAGUCCUCCCUAGGUGCUACACUCCAUCCAGCAUGGACAAACCGAAAGUCACACGUGAGAUCCAUAUCUUCACAGAUGCCUCGGAGAAAGCUUACGGGGCAGUUGCUUACCUUCGUUCAGAGGAUCCUAGUGGGAGGAUACACCUUUCCUUCCUCCUGGCCCGAUCACGUGUAGCCCCACGUAAGCAGUGCUCAAUUCCUAGACUUGAGCUAUGCGCUGCUCUCAUAGGAGCGCAGUUGGCCAAACUGGCUGAGAAUGAGCUCACCUUGAACAUCCAGAAAGUCAUUCUCUGGACAGAUUCAACAACUGUCCUACACUGGCUGCAUUCUGAAUCCUGCCGCUUUAAGGUGUUUGUGGGAACGAGGGUGGCAGAGAUUCAAGAAUUAACUGAUCUCAAAUCAUGGCAUUAUGUUGACUCUGCCAGGAACCCUGCGGAUGAUCUUACCCGUGGUAAGAGCCUGAAGGACCUCACUGUACCCAAUCGGUGGAUACAAGGACCAGAAUUCCUCAUUCAACCUCAGAGUAAUUGGCCAUCACCACCAGUAAUGCACAGCUCAGAGCCUGAGGAUGCCACAGAAUUAAAGCGUAGUGCCUUUUGUGGCAUGAUUAACUCAGCACCGCUAAUAGCAGAUGACCGCAAGUUCAGUAGCUGGAAAGACUUGGUUGAAGCAGUAGCACAGGAGCUUCAGGGGGCGGCAGAGCAGAGGGGCUCCACUCUAGCAAGUGCUUACAAAAAAGCUGAGCUGUCUGUACUAAGACAGAUCCAGAUGGACAGUUUCCCUGAUGACUACCAGCUGUUGAAGAAUGGUAAGCCCGUUCGUUCUAGCAGCCGGUUACUUUGUCUCUCCCCAGAAUUCGAUGAAGCCAGUGAAUUAAUACGUGUUGGAGGACGAUUAAGACGUGCGGAAGGACUCGACCCAAGCACAGUACAUCCUAUUGUAUUGGAUCCCAGUCACCCUAACACUCGGUUGCUCAUAAGAGAUUACGAUGCUCACCUUUGCCAUCCAGGACCAGAGCGAGUGUUCGCUGAGCUUCGUCGAAAGGUAUGGAUAUUGAAAGGGAGAGAGGCUGUGAGGAAGCACCAGCGAUUGUGUCCUGAAUGCUGCAAAUGGAGGUCGAAGCCAGCCUCUCAGAAAAUGGUUGAUCUCCCUCCACCUCGGCUUCGAUUGUUCAAGCCUGCAUUCCAUUCAGCUGGAAUGGACUGCUUUGGACCUUUCUUGGUCAAAGCGGGACGUCGUACAGAGAAAAGAUGGGGACUUCUAUUUAAGUGUCUGACCACUCGGGCCGUGCACCUUGAGGUUCUGACAUCCAUGGACAGUGAUGCCUUUCUCAUGGCACUUCGCCGUUUCAUAGGUCGCCGUGGGAAACCAGCAGAGCUAUACUCAGACCAAGGCACCAACUUCCGAGGAGGUAACACAGAGCUGAAAGAAGCCUUCCGUCAGCUCAGUGGCGAUCUACAACAGCAAAUGGCUAAGCAGCAGAUUAGCUUUCAUUUCAAUCCUCCAGCUGCUCCACACUUCGGAGGAGUGUGGGAAAGAGAGAUUCGCUCUAUCAAAGUUGCACUUUACACAACCUUGGGAUCAGACACAGUAACUGAAGAAGUGCUUCGAACUGUCCUCAUAGAAAUAGAGGCCAUCCUGAACUCUAAACCUCUUGGGUAUGUUUCAGCGGAUAUUGCUGAUUUAGAUCCCAUCACCCCAAACUGCCUUCUGAUGGGGCGGCCAGAUGGUUCCCUGCCACAAGUUAUAUACCCAGUAUCUGAGCUCCUGGGAAGACGUCGGUGGAGGCAUUCACAAGUAUUGUCUGACAGAUUCUGGACAGCCUUCAUAAAGAACUACUUACCUGAACUUCAGGCCAGGACAAAAUGGCAGACUCCAUCAGCAGACAUCCAACCUGGCAUGGUUGUAAUGCUCGUUGACCCCCAGUUACCACGUUCGUUCUGGCAGAUUGGAAGAGUAGUAAAUGUAUUCCCUGGGGCUGAUGAUCGAGUACGAACAGCUGAGAUACAGAUAAAGGACAGAGUCUAUACAAGACCCAUCGCUCGUUUGAUUGUUCUGCCAGAGAUCCAAGAUGAAGAAGAUCACAUCCAAACUAGAGACUAAUGGUAACCCAUAUAGUGUCCGCCUUUCAGUGGAGCAAAUUUGGGACCAAAUUUGGGGGCGGCUGUGUUAGAAAGGCCGAGUUCUGUGCGCAUGCGCUGAUUCCAUCAGUCGUCAUUGAAGAGAGAGUGACUCAGCAGAAGGUGCGAGGGCGCUGUGUGUAUGCAACGUGUGCGUUGAUAAACAAAUACCACACCCAAAUUUACACACCCAAAUUUACACACCCAAAAGCCUGUAAAUCCUGUGUACUGCUGUGUUGUGUACCACCCAAAUUGUCAACAUUAAACCCCUUUUCAUGGAA